rnacentral:rRNA from 1 species
AUCCAGCUUGCUGGAUGCUGACGAGCGGCGGACGGGUGAGUAAUGCAUAGGAAUCUGCCCGGUAGUGGGGGAUAACCUGGGGAAACCCAGGCUAAUACCGCAUACGUCCUACGGGAGAAAGGGGGCUUCGGCUCCCGCUAUCGGAUGAGCCUAUGUCGGAUUAGCUAGUUGGUGAGGUAACGGCUCACCAAGGCCACGAUCCGUAGCUGGUCUGAGAGGAUGAUCAGCCACAUCGGGACUGAGACACGGCCCGAACUCCUACGGGAGGCAGCAGUGGGGAAUAUUGGACAAUGGGGGGAACCCUGAUCCAGCCAUGCCGCGUGUGUGAAGAAGGCCCUCGGGUUGUAAAGCACUUUCAGCGAGGAAGAACGCCUAGCGGUUAAUACCCGCUAGGAAAGACAUCACUCGCAGAAGAAGCACCGGCUAACUCCGUGCCAGCAGCCGCGGUAAUACGGAGGGUGCAAGCGUUAAUCGGAAUUACUGGGCGUAAAGCGCGCGUAGGUGGCUUGAUAAGCCGGUUGUGAAAGCCCCGGGCUCAACCUGGGAACGGCAUCCGGAACUGUCAAGCUAGAGUGCAGGAGAGGAAGGUAGAAUUCCCGGUGUAGCGGUGAAAUGCGUAGAGAUCGGGAGGAAUACCAGUGGCGAAAGCGGCCUUCUGGACUGACACUGACACUGAGGUGCGAAAGCGUGGGUAGCAAACAGGAUUAGAUACCCUGGUAGUCCACGCCGUAAACGAUGUCGACCAGCCGUUGGGGUGCCUAGC